AACGAACGCUGGCGGCAGGCUUAACACAUGCAAGUCGAGCGAGACCUUCGGGUCUAGCGGCGGACGGGUGAGUAACGCGUGGGAACGUGCCCUUCUCUACGGAAUAGCCCCGGGAAACUGGGAGUAAUACCGUAUACGCCCUUUGGGGGAAAGAUUUAUCGGAGAAGGAUCGGCCCGCGUUGGAUUAGGUAGUUGGUGGGGUAAUGGCCCACCAAGCCGACGAUCCAUAGCUGGUUUGAGAGGAUGAUCAGCCACACUGGGACUGAGACACGGCCCAGACUCCUACGGGAGGCAGCAGUGGGGAAUCUUAGACAAUGGGGGCAACCCUGAUCUAGCCAUGCCGCGUGAGUGAUGAAGGCCUUAGGGUUGUAAAGCUCUUUCAGCUGGGAAGAUAAUGACGGUACUAGCAGAAGAAGCCCCGGCUAACUCCGU
rnacentral:rRNA from 1 species